UGGGGAAUUUUGCGCAAUGGGCGAAAGCCUGACGCAGCGACGCCGCGUGUACGAUGAAGGCCUUUGGGUCGUAAAGUACUGUCAACGGGGACGAACGCCUCAGAUUGAAUAGGUCUGAGGUCUGACGGUACCCGUGGAGGAAGCACCGGCUAACUCUGUGCCAGCAGCCGCGGUAAUACGGAGGAUGCAAGCGUUAUCCGGAAUUAUUGGGCGUAAAGCGUCCGCAGGUGGCACUUCAAGUCUGCUGUCAAAGACCAGAGCUCAACUCUGGGCAGGCGGUGGAAACUGGGGAGCUAGAGUACGGUAGGGGUAGAGGGAAUUUCCAGUGUAGCGGUGAAAUGCGUAGAGAUUGGAAAGAACACCAGUGGCGAAGGCGCUCUACUGGACCUGUACUGACACUAAGGGACGAAAGCUAGGGGAGCGAAAGGGAUUAGAUACCCCCGUAGUCC
rnacentral:rRNA from 1 species